rnacentral:rRNA from 1 species
UACGUAGGUGGCAAGCGUUGUCCGGAAUCACUGGGCGUAAAGCGCGCGCAGGCGGCGAUCUACGUCUGGGGUGAAAGCUCGGAGCUCAACUCCGGGACUGCCUUGGAUACGGGAUCGCUUGAGGAUUGGAGAGGCAAGGGGAAUUCCACGUGUAGCGGUGAAAUGCGUAGAUAUGUGGAGGAACACCUGUGGCGAGGCGCCUUGCUGGCCAAUUUCUGACGCUGAGGCGCGAAAGCGUGGGGAGCAAACAGG